rnacentral:rRNA from 1 species
UACGUAGGGACCGAGCGUUGUCCGGAAUCAUUGGGCGUAAAGAGCGUGUAGGCGGCUAUUUAAGUCCUGCGUGAAAUCCUGCGGCUCAACCGCAGACGGUCGUGGGAAACUGGAUGGCUAGAGUGCGGGAGAGGAGAGUGGAAUUCCCGGUGUAGCGGUGAAAUGCGCAGAUAUCAGGAAGAACACCUAUGGCGAAGGCAGCUCUCUGGGACGGUACUGACGCUGAGACGCGAAAGCGUGGGGAGCGAACAGG